UCAUAUAUGACUGAAUAAUAUUAAUCAGCAGUAAUACAACCCAACGCAGCCCUAAUCGGGGUGUCACAAGUCACGAGCAUCUAUCAAAAUGCAAAUCCACUACAAGGUCUAAAUAUGAAUACAAAAUCGAAAUAAUGAACCAGAGGGAAACAUAGUGCUGCGAACGCUGACAGUCACCUCCUUAACUCAUAUAACUCUGUCUGUGAUCGGCCCAAAAUCCGCUACCGGGUGAAUAGAUACCCGCAUCUGCACACGAGGUGCAGGGAAUAAAGUGAGUACUCCAACUCAGUGAGCAAUAAUAAUAAUAAAUAAUAACCGAAGGUAAGAAAACAUAUAACAACACAAUGCAAUUCUAUAUCAGGCAGCAAAACUCUUAAAGCAGCAAAAUCCGUAAAGAGCCAAAUGAAACCUCAUUUCAUUUUUUUAAAUAGCGGAAAUCAAGUAAAUAUCGCAAUAGGUAGUAAAUAGUAAAACUGUCCCUCGGGCCCAGUAUCAACCGCUCAGUACAGUAACAGCCCCUCGAGCUCAAUCUCAGUCACUCAGUAUAGUAUCAGCCCCUCGAGCCCACUCUCAUAUCACAUGGGUACCCGCGCUCACUAUAGGUGUGCAAACUCCGGAGGGGCCCCUUACAGCCCAAGAAUUAUAUCAACAUAAGGCCUGAAAGCCUUCUCACAUCACACUCGAGGCCUGAAAUCCUCCUCACAUAACAUUCGAGGUCUGAAAGCCUCCUUACAUUACUCAACAUAUCCUCCCAUAUGGCCCUCGGCCUCAAUCAGUCCAAAAAAACAACCAUAAGCCCCUCGGACAUCAGUAAAAUAAUAGUGCUAAGCUCAAACAUCAGUUCCCUCACAUAAUCACUCGAGGCUUGAAAGCCUCCUCACAUAAUCACUUGAGGCCUAAAUCCUCCUCACACAAUCACUCGAGGUCUGAAAGCCUCCUCACAUAACACUCGAGGCCUGAAAGCCUCCUCACAUAACCUCCUCACACAAUCAGUCGAGGCCUGAAAGCCUCCUCACAUAACACUCGAGGCCUGAAAGCCUCAUCACAUAAUCACUCGAGGCCUGAAAGCCUCCUCUCAUAACACUCUAGACCUGAAAGCCUCACCCAGUCAAGAAUAUCAUAAGCCCCUCGCACGUUAAUAAAAUAAUAGUCAUUAGCCCAAACGACAGUGAAAUAUCAUUAAAGUCUCAAAAUUCAAUUAAAACGGGGCUGAGUUUGCAUAACAGUAUAAUCAUUAGGAAUGAGUUCAAAUAACAUAUCAAAAAUAGUGAGGAAAUAGUUAUAACAAUCCCUGAAGGAUCCAAAUAGUCGGCAUUAAGCAUAAAGCACUGCAAUAAGCCCCAAAUCAUGAUGAUAAACAAAACAACUCAGUCAAAUACGCGGUAAAAUAUCAAUUGGGACGGACCAAGUCACAAUCCCCAAUAGUAAAUAAAUCAUGCGCUAAUUAUAAAAUGCGUGUUUCAUCUCAAUAUAGCACUACGUUGUGCAAAUUCGGGGUUUCAAACCCUCAGGAUAUCAUUUACUAUCAUUACUCACCUCAAGCCAGCCAAACUCCUUGCCCGUUAUGCCCUUGCCUAUCAAAUCGACCUCCUCGCACGUCGAAACUGAU
rnacentral:lncRNA from 1 species